GUUUCCCACCCUGCGCUAUGAGACCUAUUUUCUGGUAAUGAUGCAUCACCGGAGAGGGAAUACAAGUAAACCACCUUGUGAAAGGCUAGGUACUCAGUUCGAUAAGAGCCUGACAUGUGAGGGGGAUGAAUGGUGGAAAGUCUCCAAUCGAGGACCUUUGCUACCUUGAACUGCAGCAUCAAGAACUACACCUUAACCCAUCCACAGAGACUCUGAGCUUUCCACAGAUUUGAUUUUCAGAAACAUGA
rnacentral:lncRNA from 1 species